AGAGUUUGAUCCUGGCUCAGGACGAACGCUGGCGGUGUGCUUCACACAUGCAAGUCGAGCGAAUGAAGUAGGUAGCUUGCUGCUUAUGGAUUUAGCGGCGGACGGGUGAGUAAUAUAUAGGAAUCUGCCUUAGAGCGGGGAACAACAGACCGAAAGGUUUGCUAAUGCCCCAUAGGUAUGCAGUCUUCGGAUUGUAUAUUAAAGGAGUAAUCCACUCUAAGAUGAGCCUGUAUCCGAUUAGCUAGUUGGCGGGGUAAAGGCCCACCAAGGCUACGAUCGGUAGUUGGUCUGAGAGGAUGAUCAGCCACAAUGGGACUGAGACACGGCCCAUACUCCUACGGGAGGCAGCAGUGGGGAAUUUUACACAAUGGGGGAAACCCUGAUGUAGCGACACCGCGUGAACGAAGAAGCCUUUUGGGGUGUAAAGUUCUGUCGGCUGGAACGAAAAAAAUGACGGUACCAGCAAAGGAAGCAUCGGCUAACUACGUGCCAGCAGCCGCGGUAAGACGUAGGAUGCAAGCGUUGUCCGGAUUUAUUGGGCGUAAAGAGUUCGUAGGCGGUUAUUUAAGUCUGAUGUUAAAUACUGUGGCCCAACCACAGAACUGCAUUGGAUACUGGAUGACUUGAGUGCGGUAGAGGCAAGUGGAAUUCCCAGUGUAGCGGUGAAAUGCGUAGA
rnacentral:rRNA from 1 species